rnacentral:lncRNA from 1 species
GAGACCCCGCUGCGGUCACCCCGGCCCUGCACCCAGCCUGGCGCUCGCGCUACUGCAGCAGCGGGCUCCGGGAGACCGUGGUCGGUGUGCCGGGUGCGGGCCCGGGUGUUGCAGGCUGGCGCCGCAGUCUCCGGGGUCGCGCGGAGCCCCCGCGGGGUGCUCGACUCCUGCGAGCCGCGCUCACCCUCCGGGGUGUGGGACCCGGCGGGCGCAGGGGAGCGGCCCCCGCGUCCGGCCGCCACCGUGGUUGAAUUAUGCAGGAGGCUGGCACCGGCGCGCUCGAGUUGCUCAAGUUUCCCUGGCAACUUUCGCCCGGGCAUCCCUCCUCCCCCGCGGCGGGCAGCUCCGCCCGCGCGCACCCGCUGCCCAGGAACCUCCGCCGGUUGGCCUGGGCUUGGGGCGCCGGGCGCGGGAAACACUCUGCAAGACGCCGACCACGCACUUGCUCCUGGGCCGGGGACUCCAACUGAGCCAGCAGAGACCUGGCAGCCAUGCCGCGCCUCCCGACGUCCAGUGAGGACGAGAUGGCCCAGAGCUUCUCCGACUACUCCGUGGGCUCUGAGUCCGACAGCUCCAAAGACGAGACCGUCUACGACACCAUCCGGGCCGCGGGGGAGAAGCCGAGCGGGGCGAGGAUGGAGGAGACCCAGGGCAACACGCUGGUGAUCCGCGUGGUCAUCCAGGACCUGCAGCAGACGGUGAGCCCCUGCGCAUGGCGGCGCCCUCGCGGGCCCACCCUCCGUCCA